GUCGGAGUGUUUGAGUGGUUAAGGAGAUACAUCAAAAAUCUAUUAAUCUCUUUCACAGGUUCAAAUCCUGUCGCCGACG
rnacentral:tRNA from 1 species